rnacentral:rRNA from 1 species
AACAUUUCUUAUAAUAUCAUUAUAAGUAAAGCCUGCUCAAUGUAUAAUAAAUAGCCGCAGAAUUUUAACUGUGCUAAGGUAGCAUAAUCAUUAGCCUUUUAAUUAAAGACUAGAAUGAAAGGCUAAACACUUCAUUUACUUUUUUACACAAAAUAAUACAAAUUAUACUAAGUAUAAAAAUAUACUUAUAUAUAAACUAGACGACAAGACCCUGUCGAACUUAACUCCUGUUAAGCUGGGGCAGCUAAUUAAUUAAAAUUUUAAUUUAAAUAAAAAUAAAAAAAUCCUAAUAAAAUUGAUCUAUCAAGUUACCGAAGGGAUAACAGCGUAAUAAAUUUUUUAAGCUCUUAUUUUAAAAAAAGAUUACGACCUCGAUGUUGAAUUAUUUAACUUAAAUGGCGCAAGAGUCAUACCAGUGGGUCUGUUCGACCUUUAAUUUUUUACAUGAUC